GACGAACGCUGGCGGCGUGGAUUAGGCAUGCAAGUCGAACGGUAGGAUACCUUCGGGUAUCUGAGAGUGGCGAACGGGUGAGUAACACGUAGGUGAUCUACCCUCAAGAUUGGGACAACCCAGGGAAACUUGGGCUAAUACCGGAUGAAAGCAGCAGUGAUGUUGUUUGAAAGGUGGCGUAAGCUGCCGUUUGGGGAUGAGCCUGCGCUCUAUUAGUUAGUUGGCGGGUAAAGGCCCACCAAGGCGAUGAUAGAUAGGCGGCCUUAACGGGUGGUCGCCCCACACUGGGAUUGAGAUACGGCCCAGACUCCUACGGGAGGCAGCAGUCGAGAAUAGUCUACAAUGGCCGAAAGGCUGAUAGUGCGAACGCCGCGUGAACGAAGAAGCCCUUCGGGGUGUAAAGUUCUUUUAUAUGUGAGCAGUGCUUUCUAUGUGAACAGCAUGGGGAAGAGAUAUUAGCAUAUGAAUAAGCAACGGCUAACUCCGUGCCAGCAGCCG
rnacentral:rRNA from 1 species